UACGUAGGGGCCUAGCGUUGUCCGGAUUUAUUGGGCGUAAAGAGCUCGUAGGCGGUUCGGCAAGUCGGAUGUGAAAUCUCCACGCUCAACGUGGAGGGGCCAUUCGAAACUGCCGUGACUCGAGUCUGGUAGGGGCAGAGGGAAUUUCCGGUGGAGCGGUGAAAUGCGUAGAGAUCGGAAAGAACACCAACGGCGAAAGCACUCUGCUGGGCCGACACUGACACUGAGAGACGAAAGCUAGGGGAGCGAAUGGG
rnacentral:rRNA from 1 species